CACGUAGGGCGCAAGCGUUGUUCGGAUUCAUUGGGCGUAAGGGGUGCGUAGGCGGCGCGGUAAGUCGGGUGUGAAAUCUCGGGGCUUAACUCCGAAACUGCAUUCGAUACUGCCGUGCUUGAGGACUGGAGAGGAGACUGGAAUUUACGGUGUAGCGGUGAAAUGCGUAGAUAUCGUAAGGAAGACCAGUGGCGAAGGCGGGUCUCUGGACAGUUCCUGACGCUGAGGCACGAAGGUCAGGGGAGCAAACGGG
rnacentral:rRNA from 1 species